rnacentral:rRNA from 1 species
AUGCCCUGCGGCAAGUCCGGCUCUGGCGGCAGCUUGUUCUACCGGAGGAAGCACUCAUGGAGCCGCGAUGAGUUAGUGAGCAGGAGCACCCUGCAUCUGCUGGACCUCGAUGACGGUACACCACCAGAAGAUGCUUGGAGAAGAAAAUUAAGUAGUCACGCUAAUAGACUGAAGGAGUUCAAUGUUACGUUCAGAGAAGCAUUUAAAAUGAUGAAGCUUGGUCUCCGGCUUUGGUCAUAUGUUCGAGAAGAAGCUUCUCAUGGAAGGAAAACACCGAUUGAUCCAUUCACGAGGGAGAGCAGCAAACCAUCAGCCUCACAAGGAGUACCCCUUGGUGGGAUGGGACGGGUGACUGGUAGCAUAUCAAGAGGUUUUAGAGGGGAGUUCAAACAUUGGCAGAUAACCCCUGGUUCAUGUGAUAUGUCACCAGUGAUGGAAAACCAAUUUUCGUUGUUCCAUACUAAAAACAAAUGCCCUUGA